rnacentral:rRNA from 1 species
UACGUAGGGUGCGAGCGUUAAUCGGAAUUACUGGGCGUAAAGCGUGCGCAGGCGGCUUUGCAAGACAGAUGUGAAAUCCCCGGGCUCAACCCUGGGAACUGCAUUUGUGACUGCAUGGCUGGAGUGCGGCAGAGGGGGAUGGAAUUCCGCGUGUAGCAGUGAAAUGCGUAGAUAUGCGGAGGAACACCGAUGGCGAAGGCAAUCCCCUGGGCCUGCACUGACGCUCAUGCACGAAAGCGUGGGGAGCGAAA